rnacentral:rRNA from 1 species
GACGGAGGGGGCGAGCGUUGUUCGGAAUUAUUGGGCGUAAAGGGCUUGUAGGCGGACGAGUGUGUCUGGCGUGAAAUCUCCACCGCUCAACGGGGAGAGGUCGCUGGAAACUGCACGUCUGGAGUUUGGCAGAGGAGCGUGGAAUUCCUAGUGUAGCGGUGAAAUGCGCAGAUAUCAGGAGGAACACCGGUGGCGAAGGCGGGUCUCUGGGCCGAUACUGACGCUGAGGAGCGAAAGCGUGGGGAGCGAACAGG